CCCCCGGGACAGGGGGGCGUGCGCGUCCCCUCCGCUCCCCUCCCCCCCGGCCGGGCUCUCCUGGCUCCCCGAGGCGGGAGUUUCCAGGAAGAGCUCAGAGCGCGGCCGCACCACCGAGCGCACGGAGACAUCAAGUAGUCCCUCAGAGCGACCUUAUUAGAGAAUUCUAGCUGCCAUGGGCAGUCAGAGUCGCAACGCCGAAGAGAUAGGGGGUGACAGCCGGCCUGAGGGCCUCAGGGAAAGAGGUCCGAGCUCCCACUUUGCAUUGCCGGAGAAAGACGUGUGGGGGAGGCGGAACGAGUUCCGGCGGAGGGCUCGGGCGCGCCCGGUGGAGUGAAGCGCCGCGCAGUCGAAGCGCUCACGGAGUUAAAGUGGGCGGGAAAACCCGGAACGGACUCUCCCUGACACGCCCAGGACCUCCCGUCCCAUUUUUCGUGGGGGAGGGGACGAAAAAAAGCAACGGAGAGAAACGUGUUUCCUUUCCCGGCUACCUAAACCCCCACUGGAGAAAAAAGUGACGACCCGCCACCACGGGAAGCUACAGGACAUUCACCAAGCCUUCUAAAGAUGACUUCUGGCUGCUGCUACUGACUCCAUUCUUUGUGGGAUCCUGGAAAUCAGCUAAUUAUCAUCAGUAUGAAGACUCCUUGUCUCCAAAUGGGAUAAUGGAAAAUAAUUAACUUGAACCAUAUGAAAUUGCUAGUUUUGUCACAACUGAAUAUCAACAGUUUUAUAUAUGGCUCAACCUAAUAGCACUUUAAUCACUCUGUUAUUCAUAGACCUGAUUUGGAAAAAUGAAGAAAAGAAAGGACUAUUCAUUUGAGGUACAGCAUGCAAGUUCUUCUAAUACCUGGCCCUCGGGGAAGCCUACAGAGAGAGGCGAUUUGGAAAACCCUGUUUUGGAACAGAGCUCCUCCUUAAUAGCUCCCCAUGGAAGAGGGAUUCCUGCUACAAAUGACAUGACAUCAUUGGCACAGGGCUUGGGCUGGAGCAAAGCCUGCUGCUUCUUCCUUCUUGAGACUCUGACCUUGGAGGUUCAUGGCCUACAGCCCUAGGCCGACUUCAUCUCCUUGGUUUUCCUGGUUUCUGGAAGAAAAUGUGGCAAACAUUAUCACUGGCAAGUUCAUGCCAUGCAGCCUUAGCGAAAUUUGUUUCUCCUUUUUUUUUUUUUUUAAUACUUUUAUAAAUUUAACCUCUUGCCAACACAUUUCUAUCACCGUGUACUCAGCCUUACCUAUAUGAAGGCCUAAGCAGUAUGGAGACAAGAAUUUGUUUUCUUCUCUAUUUGAUUUUUAAAUUAUAAAUGACUCUAAUGCUGUCAACUGGUAAGUGUGUAGAGUUUAAGGUAAACAUCACUCCAACUUUUAUAAAGUUUAGGGUUUAAGAUAAACAUCAC